rnacentral:rRNA from 1 species
AUUGAACGCUGGCGGAAUGCUUUACACAUGCAAGUCGAACGGCAGCACGGACUUUGGUCUGGUGGCGAGUGGCGAACGGGUGAGUAAUGUAUCGGAACGUGCCCAGUCGUGGGGGAUAACGUAGUGAAAAUUACGCUAAUACCGCAUACGAUCUAUGGAUGAAAGCGGGGGAUCGCAAGACCUCGCGCGAUUGGAGCGGCCGAUAUCAGAUUAGGUAGUUGGUGGGGUAAAGGCCCACCAAGCCAACGAUCUGUAGCUGGUCUGAGGGGACGACCAGCCACACUGGAACGGAGACACGGUCCAGACUCCUACGGGAGGCAGCAGUGGGGAAUUUUGGACAAUGGGCGAAAGCCUGAUCCAGCCAUUCCGCGUGCAGGAUGAAGGCCCUCGGGUUGUAAACUGCUUUUGUACAGAACGAAAAGGUUUCUACUAAUACUAGGAGCUCAUGACGGUACUGUAAGAAUAGGCACCGGCUAACUACGUGCCAGCCGCCGCAGUAA